AGAGUUUGAUCAUGGCUCAGGAUGAACGCUAGCUACAGGCUUAACACAUGCAAGUCGAGGGGAAACGACAUCGAAAGCUUGCUUUUGAUGGGCGUCGACCGGCGCACGGGUGAGUAACGCGUAUCCAACCUGCCCACCACUUGGGGAUAACCUUGCGAAAGUAAGACUAAUACCCAAUGAUAUCUCUAGAAGACAUCUGAAAGAGAUUAAAGAUUUAUCGGUGAUGGAUGGGGAUGCGUCUGAUUAGCUUGUUGGCGGGGUAACGGCCACCAAGGCGACGAUCAGUAGGGGUUCUGAGAGGAAGGUCCCCCANAUUGGAACUGAAGACACGGUCCAAACUCCGUACGGGAGGCA
rnacentral:rRNA from 1 species